AACGAACGCUGGCGGCAGGCUUAACACAUGCAAGUCGAGCGCCCCGCAAGGGGAGCGGCAGACGGGUGAGUAACGCGUGGGAAUCUACCCAUCUCUACGGAAUAACGCAUGGAAACGUGUGCUAAUACCGUAUACGUCCUUCGGGAGAAAGAUUUAUCGGAGAUGGAUGAGCCCGCGUUGGAUUAGCUAGUUGGUGGGGUAAAGGCCUACCAAGGCGACGAUCCAUAGUUGGUCUGAGAGGAUGAUCAGCCACACUGGGACUGAGACACGGCCCAGGCUCCUGCGGGAGGCGGGAGUGGGGAAUAUUGGAUAAUGGGCGCAAGCCUGGUCCAGCCAUGCCGCGUGAGUGAUGAAGGCCCGAGGGUUGUAAAGCUCUUUCACCGGGGAAGAUAAUGACGGUAACUGGAGAAGAAGCCCCGGCUAACUUCGUGCCUGCCGCCGCCGUAACGC
rnacentral:rRNA from 1 species